UUAAGCGACUAAGCGUACACGGUGGAUGCCCUGGCAGUCAGAGGCGAUGAAGGACGUGCUAAUCUGCGAAAAGCGUCGGUAAGGUGAUAUGAACCGUUAUAGCCGGCGAUGUCCGAAUGGGGAAACCCAGUGCAAUUCGUUGCACUAUCGUUAACUGAAUACAUAGGUUAACGAGGCGAACCGGGGGAACUGAAACAUCUAAGUACCCCGAGGAAAAGAAAUCAACCGAGAUUCCCCCAGUAGCGGCGAGCGAACGGGGAGCAGCCCAGAGUCUGAAUCAGCUUGUGUGUUAGUGGAACGGUCUGGAAAGUCCGACGGUACAGGGUGAUAGUCCCGUACACCAAAAUGCACAGGCUGUGAACUCGAAGAGUAGGGCGGGACACGUGGUAUCCUGUCUGAAUAUGGGGGGACCAUCCUCCAAGGCUAAAUACUCCUGACUGACCGAUAGUGAACCAGUACCGUGAGGGAAAGGCGAAAAGAACCCCGGCGAGGGGAGUGAAAAAGAACCUGAAACCGUGUACGUACAAGCAGUGGGAGCACCUUCGGGUGUGACUGCGUACCUUUUGUAUAAUGGGUCAGCGACUUAUAUUCUGUAGCAAGGUUAACCGUAUAGGGGAGCCGCAGGGAAACCGAGUCUUAACUGGGCGUUAAGUUGCAGGGUAUAGACCCGAAACCCGGUGAUCUAGCCAUGGGCAGGUUGAAGGUUGGGUAACACUAACUGGAGGACCGAACCGACUAAUGUUGAAAAAUUAGCGGAUGACUUGUGGCUGGGGGUGAAAGGCCAAUCAAACCGGGAGAUAGCUGGUUCUCCCCGAAAGCUAUUUAGGUAGCGCCUCGUGAACUCAUCUUCGGGGGUAGAGCACUGUUUCGGCUAGGGGGUCAUCCCGACUUACCAACCCGAUGCAAACUACGAAUACCGAAGAAUGUUAUCACGGGAGACACACGGCGGGUGCUAACGUCCGUCGUGAAGAGGGAAACAACCCAGACCGCCAGCUAAGGUCCCAAAGUCAUGGUUAAGUGGGAAACGAUGUGGGAAGGCACAGACAGCCAGGAUGUUGGCUUAGAAGCAGCCAUCAUUUAAAGAAAGCGUAAUAGCUCACUGGUCGAGUCGGCCUGCGCGGAAGAUGUAACGGGGCUAAACCAUGCACCGAAGCUGCGGCAGCGACACGAUGUGUUGUUGGGUAGGGGAGCGUUCUGUAAGCCUGCGAAGGUGGCCUGUGAGGGUUGCUGGAGGUAUCAGAAGUGCGAAUGCUGACAUAAGUAACGAUAAAGCGGGUGAAAAGCCCGCUCGCCGGAAGACCAAGGGUUCCUGUCCAACGUUAAUCGGGGCAGGGUGAGUCGACCCCUAAGGCGAGGCCGAAAGGCGUAGUCGAUGGGAAACAGGUUAAUAUUCCUGUACUUGGUGUUACUGCGAAGGGGGGACGGAGAAGGCUAUGUUAGCCGGGCGACGGUUGUCCCGGUUUAAGCAUGUAGGCUGGUUAUCCAGGCAAAUCCGGAUAAUCAAGGCUGAGGUGUGAUGACGAGGCACUACGGUGCUGAAGUAACAAAUGCCCUGCUUCCAGGAAAAGCCUCUAAGCAUCAGGUAACAUCAAAUCGUACCCCAAACCGACACAGGUGGUCAGGUAGAGAAUACCAAGGCGCUUGAGAGAACUCGGGUGAAGGAACUAGGCAAAAUGGUGCCGUAACUUCGGGAGAAGGCACGCUGGUGUGUAGGUGAAGUCCCUGCGGAUGGAGCUGAGACCAGUCGAAGAUACCAGCUGGCUGCAACUGUUUAUUAAAAACACAGCACUGUGCAAACACGAAAGUGGACGUAUACGGUGUGACGCCUGCCCGGUGCCGGAAGGUUAAUUGAUGGGGUUAUCCGUAAGGAGAAGCUCUUGAUCGAAGCCCCGGUAAACGGCGGCCGUAACUAUAACGGUCCUAAGGUAGCGAAAUUCCUUGUCGGGUAAGUUCCGACCUGCACGAAUGGCGUAAUGAUGGCCAGGCUGUCUCCACCCGAGACUCAGUGAAAUUGAACUCGCUGUGAAGAUGCAGUGUACCCGCGGCAAGACGGAAAGACCCCGUGAACCUUUACUAUAGCUUGACACUGAACAUUGAGCCUUGAUGUGUAGGAUAGGUGGGAGGCUUUGAAGCGUGGACGCCAGUCUGCGUGGAGCCAACCUUGAAAUACCACCCUUUAAUGUUUGAUGUUCUAACGUUGGCCCCUUAUCGGGGUUGCGGACAGUGUCUGGUGGGUAGUUUGACUGGGGCGGUCUCCUCCCAAAGCGUAACGGAGGAGCACGAAGGUUAGCUAAUCCUGGUCGGACAUCAGGAGGUUAGUGCAAUGGCAUAAGCUAGCUUGACUGCGAGCGUGACGGCGCGAGCAGGUGCGAAAGCAGGUCAUAGUGAUCCGGUGGUUCUGAAUGGAAGGGCCAUCGCUCAACGGAUAAAAGGUACUCCGGGGAUAACAGGCUGAUACCGCCCAAGAGUUCAUAUCGACGGCGGUGUUUGGCACCUCGAUGUCGGCUCAUCACAUCCUGGGGCUGAAGUAGGUCCCAAGGGUAUGGCUGUUCGCCAUUUAAAGUGGUACGCGAGCUGGGUUUAGAACGUCGUGAGACAGUUCGGUCCCUAUCUGCCGUGGGCGCUGGAGAAUUGAGGGGGGCUGCUCCUAGUACGAGAGGACCGGAGUGGACGCAUCACUGGUGUUCGGGUUGUCAUGCCAAUGGCACUGCCCGGUAGCUAAAUGCGGAAGAGAUAAGUGCUGAAAGCAUCUAAGCACGAAACUUGCCCCGAGAUGAGUUCUCCCUGAGACUUUAAGUCUCCUGAAGGAACGUUGAAGACGACGACGUUGAUAGGCCGGGUGUGUAAGCGCAGCGAUGCGUUGAGCUAACCGGUACUAAUGAACCGUGAGGCUUAACCU
rnacentral:rRNA from 1 species